rnacentral:rRNA from 1 species
AUUGAACGCUGGCGGCAUGCCUUACACAUGCAAGUCGAACGGCAGCGGGGGAGAAGCUUGCUUUUCCUGCCGGCGAGUGGCGAACGGGUGAGUAAUACAUCGGAACGUGCCCUGUAGUGGGGGAUAACUAGUCGAAAGAUUAGCUAAUACCGCAUACGACCUGAGGGUGAAAGUGGGGGACCGCAAGGCCGCAUGCUAUAGGAUGGGCCGAUGUCUGAUUAGCUAGUUGGUGGGGUAAAGGCCUACCAAGGCGACGAUCAGUAGCUGGUCUGAGAGGACGAUCAGCCACACUGGGACUGAGACACGGCCCAGACCCCUACGGGAGGCAGCAGUGGGGGAUUUUGGACAAUGGGCGAAAGCCUGAUCCAGCAAUGCCGCGUGUGUGAAGAAGGCCUUCGGGUUGUAAAGCACUUUUGUCCGGAAAGAAAUGGCUCUGGUUAAUACCUGGGGUCGAUGACGGUACCGGAAGAAUAAGGACCGGCUAACUACGUGCCAGCCGCCGCGGUAA